rnacentral:antisense_RNA from 1 species
CUUUCUUUCUUUUUUUGUUUUUUUAAGACAGAGUCUUGUUCUGUCAACCAGGCUGGAAUGCAGUGGAAUGACCUCGGCUCACUGUAACCUCUGUCUCCCAGGUUCAAAUGAUUCUCGUGCCUCAGCCUCCAGAGUAGCUGAGACAGUAGAAUCACUUGAACACGGGAGGUGGAGGUUGCAGUGAGCCAAGAUCGCGCCACUGCACUCCACCCUGGGCAACAGAGCAAGACUCUGUCUCAAAAACAAACAAACAAAAAAACUUUAUUAUAGAUAACAGAUACCAAUACUCAGUUAAAAGGGAAAACAGCCUGGGAGCAAAUUCAUGUAUAACACAGUAUUAGGAAGUGAACACACUGUUCAAUAAAUAAUAAGAAAGAAAAUAAGGAUACAAGUAGGCAAUUCAUAGAAGACAUGCAAGUGACUGAAAUACAGACAGACAUGAUGGAUUAUCAGUAACAAGUCAUUGUAUCGGACCUAACUAGAACUCUGGUACCCAUUAUUAUUAUGCAUUAAUAAAGCUAC